UACGUAGGGUGCGAGCGUUGUCCGGAAUUAUUGGGCGUAAAGCGCGUGUAGGCGGCUGCUUAAGUCGGGUGUGAAAGCCCGGGGCUCAACCCCGGGAUGCCGCCCGAGACUGGGCGGCUUGAGGUCGGAAGAGGGGAGUGGAAUUCCAGGUGUAGCGGUGAAAUGCGUAGAGAUCUGGAGGAACACCCGUGGCGAAGGCGGCUCCCUGGUCCGAUUCUGACGCUGAGACGCGAAAGCGCGGGGAGCGAACGGG
rnacentral:rRNA from 1 species